rnacentral:rRNA from 1 species
AUUGAACGCUGGCGGCAGGCCUAACACAUGCAAGUCGAACGAGUGGCGGACGGGUGAGUAAUGUCUGGGAAACUGCCUGAUGGAGGGGGCUAACUACUGGAAACGGUAGCUAAUACCGCAUACCAUCAGAUGUGCCCAGAUGGGAUUAGCUUGUUGGGGGGGGAACGGCUCACCAAGGCGACGAUCCCUAGCAGGUCUGAGAGGAUGACCAGCCACACUGGAACUGAGACACGGUCCAGACUCCUACGGGAGGCAGCAGUGGGGAAUAUUGCACAAUGGACGCAAGCCUGAUGCAGCCAUGCCGCGUGUAUGAAGAAGGCCUUCGGGUUGUAAAGUACUUUCAGCGGGGAGGCGUUACCCACCGAAGAAGCACCGGCUAACUCCGUGCCAGCCGCCGCGGUAAUAC